rnacentral:rRNA from 1 species
GUGAGACAGUUUGGUCCCUAUCUGUCGUGGGCGCAGGAAGUUUGAAUGGAUUUGUCCUUAGUACGAGAGGACCGGGAUGAACAUGGCAAUGGUAUAUCGGUUGUUCCGCCAGGAGCAUGGCCGGGUAGCUACCCAUGGAACGGAUAAACGCUGAAAGCAUCUAAGCGUGAAGCCAACCAUAAGAUGAGACUUCCCAUUCGCAAGAAGUAAGACCCCUUCAAAGUUAGAAGGUUGAUAGGUCAGAAGUGUAAGUGCUGUGAGGCAUUCAGCUGACUGAUACUAAUAGGUCGAGGACUUAAUUUC